rnacentral:rRNA from 1 species
UACGGGAGGCAGCAGUGGGGAAUAUUGCACAAUGGGCGCAAGCCUGAUGCAGCCAUGCCGCGUGUAUGAAGAAGGCCUUCGGGUUGUAAAGUACUUUCAGUCGUGAGGAAGGUGUUAAGGUUAAUAACCUUAGCAAUUGACGUUAGCGACAGAAGAAGCACCGGCUAACUCCGUGCCAGCAGCCGCGGUAAUACGGAGGGUGCGAGCGUUAAUCGGAAUUACUGGGCGUAAAGGGCACGCAGGCGGUUAAUUAAGUUGGAUGUGAAAUCCCCGGGCUUAACCUGGGAAUGGCAUUCAAGACUGGUUAGCUAGAGUCUUGUAGAGGGGGUAGAAUUCCAUGUGUAGCGGUGAAAUGCGUAGAGAUGUGGAGGAAUACCGGUGGCGAAGGCGGCCCCUGGGACAAAGACUGACGCUCAUGUGCGAAAGCUGGGGAGCAAACGAGGAUUAGAUACC